rnacentral:rRNA from 1 species
UACAGAGGGUGCGAGCGUUAAUCGGAAUUACUGGGCGUAAAGCGCACGUAGGUGGCGACGUAAGUCGGGUGUGAAAGCCCCGGGCUCAACCUGGGAAUUGCAUUCGAGACUGCAUUGCUGGAGUACGGAAGAGGAGGGCGGAAUUCCCGGUGUAGCGGUGAAAUGCGCAGAUAUCAGGAGGAACACCAAUUGCGAAGGCAGCUCGCUGGGACGUUACUGACGCCGAGACGCGAAAGCGUGGGGAGCAAACAGG